rnacentral:lncRNA from 10 species
UCAGUACCAUGUGGUAAGUCUUUAUUAACCAGAGUCUAAUUCUGCAGAAUCAAUUUGGCUCUGCCAGGAACCAAGUUUCUGCUUUAAUCUAAGAGGAACUCUGAAUUAGUAACCUUGCACAUGUUGUCUUCCCUUGGAAAUGUCACUAAGGGACUCUUCGAAGCAUGGGUGUGGGUCCUUGGUGUAGGUCCUCUAGGUGCAUGAGGUGGCACUUUCCAGAAGCAUGGGUGAACCUCCCAAGGGAGUCCAGAGUCUUUUAUUGGAAUCAAUGGAUGAGAAAAAUAUUGUUUUGCAACUUGAGUGAAUGUGGCCUCCAUGAUCAAAACCUGGACUAGAAAAGCCUGUGGAGUGGCCCUAGAACAGGGCAAGGUAGAGAGGAGAGUUUUCUCCUGCUGUGAAUUUACCACUCAUUCCUGUAUUGUAGCCACAUGCUUUAAUUUUUUUUCUUCUCCCUUUUCCCACAGUGCCCCCUAAAUAUUUCCACUGAAGACUUUUAGAACUUUGGAAUAAGGAAAUUGUAUCUCCAGCUGACAAUAAAAUUUACGAAGC